GGUGGAGCAAUGGGGGAGGGGCUCUCUCCUAAACUGUAUAUUCCAGACUCAUUCCCAACAUCCCGCGUCCUCCGCGCCUGGACCCCACUCUGAGAUCUAGCAGCCUCUCCAUGAAUACCGAAUGAGUCGUUGGAAGGCCAAGAAGGGGCGGGGAGCUGCAGGAGCCGGGGCGGAGGGCCCCGCGGCCAAUGGGGUGGGCUUCUGCCCUCUCCGCCCCUCUCUGACCCUCCCCUGGAGCCGGCGACCUAAGUGUCUGCAAAAGCAAACAGUGAAAGGGCAGGGGAGAGAAGGAAAACAAGAAAAAAGGCUGAAUGAAGAAGGAAGACAAAUGUCUGGACCACAGAGAUGAAUGUGGACACAAGCAACACAAGCAUCUCUAAAAUGAAGAGAUUGAGGACCACAUUGGAGGAUUCUGAAGCAGAAACUAUUGAACCCCAAAACAAUGUUCUAGGGAAAUCGAGAAAAAUGAGAAAAAAUUGAAGUAUCCAAUUUACCUGAAGCCAGAAGAGGAAAGAGAAGUCCCUCUGAAGCUUGCCACCAAAAGUAAACAAAAUGGCUCAGGGACUGACCCUGUAGCUUAGUGGAUACCUGCAGAGAAACCCACUCAUGUGCACAAGGAGACAAGAACAGAAAUGUCCAUUGCUCCAUGUAUA